AACAUUUCGCUGAAUACCUGGUGUCUGCAAUUCUGCAAAUUUUGUUUUUUAUAAUUGUUGUGACGAUUGGUUCAUUGUAGUUGUUGUUUGGUCGUUUGGCAUCAAUCACCUGCUCAGUUGGAGUCAAUUGGCAUUGGUCUUGUUCAAUUUGGACACCUGUAGCUCCAUGCUUGACCAGCUGGUGUUCGCUAACUAUAUUUAAUUGGUUGGAGGACUCUAUUCCGGCAUUAAAAGUGUCUGAAACUUGGUGGGUUAAUGGCAUUUGAAGUGGAGAACAAUCUCCAUUCUCCAUUGCUUGAAAUCACUCGAUUUGAAGCAGAACUGAUAUGAUAAAUAUCAGUUUUGCCCAAGUAAAUUUUCGCUACAGUACUCGCUCCACCAUUGUUGAAAUCUAGAACAGCUUGGGAAGAAAUGAGAGGGGCGUCUAGGUGGGGUUUAUGCACAAUUUUGAGACGUUCUUUUGUGACUGGUCCGGUGGCUUUUCACCACCGGACAACGACACAGUGG
rnacentral:lncRNA from 1 species